rnacentral:rRNA from 1 species
ACGAACGCUGGCGGCGUGCCUAAUACAUGCAAGUAGAACGCACAGUUUAUACCGUAGCUUGCUACACCAUAAACUGUGAGUUGCGAACGGGUGAGUAACGCGUAGGUAACCUGCCUGGUAGCGGGGGAUAACUAUUGGAAACGAUAGCUAAUACCGCAUAAUAUUGAUUAUUGCAUGAUAAUUGAUUGAAAGAUGCUAUUGCAUCACUACCAGAUGGACCUGCGUUGUAUUAGCUAGUAGGUGAGGUAACGGCUCACCUAGGCGACGAUACAUAGCCGACCUGCGAGGGUGAUCGGCCACACUGGGACUGAGACACGGCCCAGACUCCUACGGGAGGCAGCCGUAGGGAAUCUUCGGCAAUGGACGAAAGUCUGACCGAGCAACGCCGCGUGAGUGAAGAAGGUUUUCGGAUCGUAAAGCUCUGUUGUAAGAGAAGAACGGGUGUGAGAGUGGAAAGUUCACACUGUGACGGUAUCUUACCAGAAAGGGACGGCUAACUACGUG